AAAAGACUGUGGUGGGAGUUUUCCCUUCAGACUUUUCAGUCACUGUCUCUCCUGGGCUGAAGAAGAGCUGUCUCUGAGAAGCAGAAGAACAACAGCUAUUUGCUUGAUUGACUUCUGCUUGGAUGAAGGAUGAUGGAAGCUGCUGUUGCUGGGGACUAAGGUCCUGGCCACCU